AACGUAGGACGCAAGCGUUAUCCGGAGUUACUGGGCGUAAAGCGCGGGCAGGCGGCUCUGUAAGUCUGAUGUGAAAGCGCCCGGCUCAACCGGGCGAGGCCAUUGGAAACUUCAGAGCUGGAGGGCAGUAGAGGCAGGCGGAAUUCCGGGUGGAGUGGUGAAAUGCGUAGAGAUCCGGAGGAACACCAGAGGCGAAGGCGGCCUGCUGGGCUGCACCUGACGCUGGAGGAGCGAAAGCCGUGGGGAGCGAACAGG
rnacentral:rRNA from 1 species